rnacentral:rRNA from 1 species
CUCUUCCUACGGGGGGCAGCAGUCGGGAAUAUUGCGCAAUGGAGGCAACUCUGACGCAGUGACGCCGCGUAUAGGAAGAAGGUUUUCGGAUUGUAAACUAUUGUCCUCAGGGAAGAAAAAAGACUGUACCUGAGAAGAAAGCUCCGGCUAACUACGUGCCAGCAGCCGCGGUAAUACGUAGGUGGCGAGCGUUAUCCGGAAUGAUUGGGCGUAAAGGGUGCGUAGGCGGCCUGCUAAGUCUGGAGUGAAAUGUACCGGCUCAACCGGUACAGGCUCUGGAAACUGGCGGGCUAGAGAGCAGGAGG